AUGACCAAACAGAAAAAUUGUCCAGUCUCAUUGCGGUCGGGCCGCGAAGGUGGCGAGAAGAAGCCCCUGAAGCAGCCCAAGAAGCAAGCUAAGGAGGUGGACGAGGAAAAUAAGGCAUUCAAGCAGAAACAAGAGGAGGAGCAGAAGAAACUCGAGGAGCUAAAAGCGAAGGCCGUGGGGAGAGGCCCCCUGGCCACAGGUGGAAUUAAGAAGUCUGGCAGAAAGUAAGCUGUUCCUUGUGUCUGAGGCUAUGAUGAUCCUUAAUUCCAUUCCUGUUUAAACAUCUGGAUUCCCUGCCAUAACAUCUGUUGCCACCUUUAGCUAGAAUGAAGCGUUGUCUUGGAACCUACUGUACAUUUAAGAAUAAACUUUUGUAAAAAAAAAAAAA